CUAAUCUUAAAACGGUCUAUUUAAAAUAGCCCAAUCGUUAAUUUCCGGUUUUGCCCCUGACGGCAAGCCUUUUUCCGUUUAAUUUCAUUUACGGAUCUCCCUGCUAUUCUCUAUCCUCCCCAAUUUCUUCCUGACAUUCGAAACCUUCCAAUUUUUUUUUCUAGUUUCAGGUCUCAACUCCAUGCCUAUCACUAUGCAAAAUCUAUAGAUCCGAUCUGACCCCAAACUUAAUUUUGAUCCAUCUCCAUCUCUGUCAAAAGGCAAUCAGUUACAUGCAAAACGAUGUCACUCUCUCUCUCUCUCUCCCUUUUGUAAAGAUGAGAAGGGACCUGGACUUUUCACCGACAUCAGCAAAAAAAGCCAUAGAUCUUCUGAUCAUGGACUACAAUUCUACAGCGAUGUUGGCGUGGUACGCUUUUGAAUCCAAAUGUGUAUAGCUAAUUAAGCAAUCAAGAAAUAUAGCUUCAGAUCGUGAAUUAGGGGUUCGGAUCAAUGUUGUUUGCUAGUUGAUUGUUUUAGCUAGAUCAUAGUGCCAAUCUCAUACUAAUUUUUUUGUGCCGGGUUCGAAAUUGAGAUUGAAGUAUUUAGAAUUAAGUUAUUUUUGUAGUUUAUAGCUUUUCUCUGUCCAAGGAAAUAAGUUUAUACGUUUUAUUUUAUAAAUAUGAUUAUACAUUUUGCGUUU